rnacentral:rRNA from 1 species
UGGGGAAUAUUGCACAAUGGGCGAAAGCCUGAUGCAGCAACGCCGCGUGAGUGAUGAAGGCCUUCGGGUUGUAAAGCUCUGUCUUCUGGGACGAUAAUGACGGUACCAGAGGAGGAAGCCACGGCUAACUACAUGCCAGCAGCCGCGGUAAUACGUAGGGUGCAAGCGUUAAUCGGAAUUACUGGGCGUAAAGCGUGCGCAGGCGGUUCGGAAAGAAAGGUGUGAAAUCCCAGGGCUUAACCUUGGAACUGCACUUUUAACUACCGGGCUAGAGUACGUCAGAGGGAGGUAGAAUUCCACGUGUAGCAGUGAAAUGCGUAGAGAUGUGAAGGAAUACCGAUGGCGAAGGCAGCCCCCUGGGAUGAUACUGACGCUCAUGCACGAAAGCGUGGGGAGCAAACA